rnacentral:lncRNA from 1 species
ACAGCGACCACCAGUGCCAGGGACCCUUGGCCUGGAGGUGCUUGGGCCGAUGACCUUCAGACUGGUGACCCUCAGACCAGACCCACCAUGUCCUGAAGAAGCUGUGAAACCUGAGGGAAACCCACCUGUGGAAGAGGUCCUUUUCAUGGAGGUUCGAUGGAGAAAAUGACCAUGGCAGAACUGCUCGUGCUCUUUAAACUACUAGGUUACCAGGGGAAGCAAGCAAAUGCUUACUGGUAUGUUGCUGCUUGGAGUAUAAGCUGAAAUAAUUUAGCUCUGCUACUAGGAAGAAUGCAUGAAUGGUGAAUGCCACUUACUAAUUUCAUAACAAUUAGGUCUAAACUAGCUUUGUGUGUAUAUAUAUAUAUAUUUAUAUAUCUAGCUAUAUAUUUAUUAGAUCUCUUAGGUUACAGGAAUGUUUGCAAUUUAGCAGUAAUCAUCUAAUUUAUAAGUUAAUAUUAUGAUGCAAAACAGUUCAAGUAAUGAUAGAUCAGCACCAUUCUCCUUAAUAUUUUUCUUAAGCUGGCAAAUAAGCAAUUGACUAUGAACAAUAGAAGGUAAAACAUUUAAAAAAAUAAUUAUUUUAUAUCAGUUUGUAUUCCUAUAAAGAGAAGAGGCAAGUAGAAACUGAUAUUAGAAUUACCCAAACUGACAAAUGGAAACACCAGAAGGAAAUUUAGAAAAGCCAUACUGAAAAGCUCUACUGCUUUUAUGAUUAAUGCAUCAUGUCUGGUCUCUGCUAAAUGCUAAAUUGAAAUAUGAAGGUUUGUACUAAAUAUGACAUUACUUGAGGUAAAACUAGCAAAGAGACCAAAAAUAAGUUAAUUAAAGAAUGUAAGCUUAGUUCCUAAUGAUUUCCUAAAUUCCUAAGAUGUGGGAAUACUGUUAAUACUAUAUUUACAUUUGGUACCUCAGUAUCAGAAGAACCAGGGGAGGAGAGGUCUAUGGCUCAUCACAGACAUUUUUUAUAUAAAGCCAGAAACCAUAUUGUCAUUUGAUAAAUGAGCCAAGAGCAAAACUUGACAGACAAAAAAAGAGUGAAAUUUUCAGCCUGGGGAAGGGUGGAGGCUCUGCAAGUUUUCCAGUGACAGUUCUUGUGUGGAUUUUUAUUUCUGUGAAGUAGCAGAUUCAGCUGAAGGUGUAAUAUGGAUAACUCUGUCAUACAGAUCUAAGCAAAUUUUGGAAUCCUAGGAACUGGUUGGUAUAUCAGUUUGCAAGAGUAAUUUUAGGUGCUUGAAUUAUCAAGAAAAUAGGGAUAAAUCCUCUCUAUUGCAUGCUUUCCAAAGCUAUUAUGAAAAGGGACAACUUGCAAUUGCAGGAAAUACCAAAGUUCUUUUGGAAGGGAAAAUAUCAAGAUCUUGGCACUUAAGACUGCACUGAAAGAGUUGGGGUUGUUUAGCCUGGAGAAGGCUCAAGAGCAGCCUUAUUGCAGCCUUUCAAAAAGUGAAGGGGACUUACAAGAAAGAUGAGGUGAAAAUUUUUAAUAGGGCCUGUAGCAGUAGGACAAGGAAUAAUGGUUUUAAACUAAAAGAGUGUAAACUCAGAUAAGAUAUGAGGAAAUAUUUUUUUAUUAUUAUUAUGAGGGUGGCAACACCAAGAGAAGUGGUGGAUGCCCCAUCUCUGGAAAUAUUUGAGGUCAGAUUGGGUGGGGCUCUGAAGAACCUGAUCUAGGCCCUGCUCAUUGCUGGGGUGUUGGAUUAGAUGACCUUUAAAGGUCCCUGCUAACUCAAAUCAUUCUAUGAUUCAAAUGAAAUAAAGAGUGGUUGUUGAUAG